ACAGAAUUUUGACAAAAUUUCCUCUAAAAUACAAACUAAAACUACCUGAACAAUAACCAAUUUUUCUCAAAUCAAUACCUAUAAUAUAAAUCAGGGUAUACCAGACCCUCAAAAAUACAAACUAUUCAAAUAUAAUGCUAGGAAAUCAAUAUUUACUUGCUUUACAACCAAUAAUCUUCAAAAGUACUAAAGAUACCAAAUAUCUAAUGAGCCCAUAAUGAACUUUUCUGAUUUAACCUAUGUGUAUCCCAAAAGAACACAAUGUAUAAUCCGAUAAAAGAUGUCAUACAACCUAUGACGCAUGGCUCAAUUCGGUGGUUCGACAUGCUCCAAAACUGCUCAAUUUGUCUGUUUUCUGUCUGAUAAAGAAAAAAUGUGAAAAAAUAUAUGAGCUUAAAGCUCAGUGAGUGGAUAAUUUACAAAUAAACAUAUUUUUCUUUUAUGCAUAUAUUUUGAAAAUUCUUGCUCUAUCAAAACUUUGAAAAAUUCUAAAAUCUGGUAACACUUUUAAAACUAAACAUAAUUUCAUCAUAAAAUUCUUUGUUCUAAAUUCUAGAUAAGUAUAUGUAAGGUAUAACAAUUAUAAAGAAUCUGAUAUUCAUGAAAAUCUAUGAAAUAUUGCUGCUGCUCUAUACUAGAAGCUGAACGCUUUAUUCUGAAAACUGAAUUCCAUAAUCUGAAAUCUAAGAACUGAAUAAGUUCUGAAAAAUCACACCAUAAAGAGUACCCAAUUAAUAGCCUUACACAUGCAUAGAGUAAUCUCGAUGUACAAGGCAAAGACAUUCAAAUCUGAUAAUCUGAUAGCUGAUAAUCUGGUCAUACGUACGCAGAGCUGCCCCAAAGGCUAAUCACCUUAGUACACGGCCCAAAGCCUAUGUGUGUACGAGAGUGGGUCCCAAAGACCUCUGAUAUUCUGGUCAUACACUAUGGAAACACAUUCACGAUAGUGCAGAGCGGGUAAAAUCACUAUAACUAAUCAUACACUGUGGAAACACAUUCACAUCAGUGCAAACUGGGGUAAAAUCACCUGGGUACUUUCUGGUGGUUUUUAGAAAUAACUUUAACUGUACUGAAACAUGUAAUAAGAAUAUAACAAGCUUUCAAAAUAAUUUAACUGAACUGAAUUUAACUAUAAAAGCAAUUGAUAAUAAAAUCCAUUUUAUUCUGAAAAUAAUGCUAUGAAGUCAACUUUAUAAAAUAAAUAACUUUAAAAUUUAAAGAAGACUUAUUUCUGAAAAAUAAGUUUUAUCCACUCACUCUAAACAAGCUACUGGUUAUGAUGGUCGACAAGUUUUUCCCAUCUCUUUGCCACCACCUGAAAGACAAUGUAAAAUAACUAAUUUAACCACUAUCCUGCUAAGUAGUAGUUCUAAAUAUUGAUGAUCGAAUCUAAAACUUGAUUUCUCGAUACUUGAAUAAUUUUCCCCCAAUUUCCCUUAAUCACUUUAAGCUAAUUCCUCACAAUAACCUUUAUUCUAAUCAUGAGAAUAACUACCCCAUCUUCCAAUCUAGCAAAACUAAUAACCAUAAUUCAACCAAUUAAAUUUACAUUUUGUUCCAUAAAACCAUUCUUCCAAGUGAAUAUUUCGUGAUAACUAUCAUUUUCCCAAACUACCUUUACUCUAGAAUCUAAUUAAAAUUCUAGGGUUUAACAAAAAUGGUAUAACUUAGCUUGUAUAUACACAACCCCUAUAAAUAAUUCCAAUACAUAGGCUUUAACAUUUGUCAUAUAUCUUCAUUCAAACCUUUAGAAUCUGAAAAUCAAAUGUUUGACAAAAACGGCACUAAAGUUCCACAAUAUUGAAUUACGACACCAAAUUCUGUAUAUUGAAAACUGUCACCAAAAUAUGGACAGAAUUAACACUUUUCUGGGAAAAUUUCGAAAAUAGCACCUUCAUUACAUAAUCCGAAAAUUUCUUUAGGAAAAUGGAGAAUUUCAACAUCAAAUCCUUAAUUUAAGUGUUUAACAUCAUAUAAUCCCAAGAAUUUCAAAGAAUGUGUAUUUCUUUCACAACCCAUCUCAAAUUCCACUUUCUUCAACACUAAUUGACAAUUAAAUAUUUCUUUGCCAUAAUUUAGUUAUAACCUGAAAUACAUAUUCAUAAUCUUUAAUUCUUGUCAAACUUUAAACAUGAGUAAUUGUUUACAAACCUUAAAUUUAAGAAUUAUUUCCCAUAAAUACAUCUUUUACUUACCUGAAGAAAUUAAGGAAUAACUUUAAGGACCAUCUUGGUAGUGCCAUCAUUUUUUUUUUCUUCCUCUUCCUUUUCUUUCUUCUUCUCUUUUUUUCUUUCUUUUGUCGGUUUUUCUCCCUGUUUCUGCCCCCGUUUCCAGCUUCUUUAUGUGUAUGUACGUAUUAUGAAAAAU
rnacentral:lncRNA from 1 species